rnacentral:sRNA from 12 species
UGCCUAAACCUUAUUUAAGGCAUGGCAGAAAAACCUUGUAGGAAGUAAGCUCUUCGUCAGAGCGCCCUACAAGGUUAUCAUCCGAAAGGAUGGUAGGUAGCGUAAGCUAUC